CCUACGGGUGGCUGCAGUGGGGAAUAUUGCACAAUGGGCGCAAGCCUGAUGCAGCCAUGCCGCGUGUGAAGAAGGCCUUCGGGUUGUAAAGCACUUUCAGCGGGGAGGAGGGCGGUGAGGUUAAUAACCUCAUCGAUUGACGUUACCCGCAGAAGAAGCACCGGCUAACUCCGUGCCAGCAGCCGCGGUAAUACGGAGGGUGCAAGCGUUAAUCGGAAUUACUGGGCGUAAAGCGCACGCAGGCGGUCUGUCAAGUCGGAUGUGAAAUCCCCGGGCUCAACCUGGGAACUGCAUUCGAAACUGGCAGGCUAGAGUCUUGCAGAGGGGGGUAGAAUUCCAGGUGUAGCGGUGAAAUGCGUAGAGAUCUGGAGGAAUACCGGUGGCGAAGGCGGCCCCCUGGACAAAGACUGACGCUCAGGUGCGAAAGCGUGGGGAGCAAACAGGAUUAGAACCCCGGUAGUC
rnacentral:rRNA from 1 species